rnacentral:rRNA from 1 species
UCACACACAGGUAGGCCGGGGGCUGUGGGGGAAAAAAAAAACUUUCCCCGCCCUAGACAUGUCCGGAAUCUUCCAGAGAUUCGGGAGUGCCUUCGGGAAUUGGAACACUCGGGUCGCAUGGGGGUCGUCCUCUCGUGUCUUGAGAUCUUGGGUUAAGUCCCCCACCGAGCGUACCCCUUUUCUUUAGUUUGGCAGCACCCCAGGGUGGGAACUCUAAGGAGACUUCCGGUACAAACCGGCGGAAGGUGGUGAUGCCCCCACGUUCUCAUGGCCCUUCCGGCCAGGGCUACACACGAACUAAAAUGGUCGGUACACAGGGUUGCAAUACCGCAACCUUUAGCCAAUCCCAGAAAGCCGAUCCCAAUCCGGAUCGCAGUCUUUAACUCGAUUCCGGAAGUCGCUUCCCUAUUAAUUGCGGAUAAUCUAGGCCGCGGGUGAAAAAGCCCCCCCCAGG